rnacentral:rRNA from 1 species
CGGUGUUCAACUGGCGUGUCCGCGGGACGUCCUGCCGGUGGGCUUAGCCCGCAAGGGCGGCCCAACUUCAAAUCCCAUCGCGGUGCUCUUCACUGAGUGUCGAGGUGGGCCGGCACGUUUACUUUGAACAAAUUAGAGUGCUUAAAGCAGGCUAAAACUUCGCCUGAAUACUGUGUGCAUGGAAUAAUGGAAUAGGACCUCGGUUCUAUUUUGUUGGUUUUCGGAACCCCGAGGUAAUGAUUAAUAGGAACGGAUGGGGGCAUUCGUAUUGCGACGUUAGAGGUGAAAUUCUUGGAUCGUCGCAAGACGGACAGAAGCGAAAGCAUUUGCCAAAAACGCUUUCAUUGAUCAAGAACGAAAGUUAGAGGUUCGAAGGCGAUCAGAUACCGCCCUAGUUCUAACCAUAAACGAUGCCAGCUAGCGAUCCGUCGACGUUCCUCCGAUGACUCGACGGGCAGCUUCCGGGAAACCAAAGCUUUUGGGUUCCGGGGGAAGUAUGGUUGCAAAGCUGAAACUUAAAGGAAUUGACGGAAGGGCACCACCAGGAGUGGAGCCUGCGGCUUAAUUUGACUCAACACGGGAAACCUCACCAGGCCCGGACACCGGAAGGAUUGACGGAUUGAGAGCUCUUUCUUGAUUCGGUGGGUGGUGGUGCAUGGCCGUUCUUAGUUGGUGGAGCGAUUUGUCUGGUUAAUUCCGAUAACGAACGAGACUCUAGCCUGCUAACUAGGCGUAUUUUCGACAUCUCAAAGGUCCGUCGUCCCGGCCCUCGGGUCGUGGGCGUGCGCGAUUUUUACUGUCGGCGUACUAUCAAUUCUUCUUAGAGGGACAGGUGGCUUCUAGCCGCACGAGAUUGAGCAAUAACAGGUCUGUGAUG